GGAAUAUUGCGCAAUGGGCGAAAGCCUGACGCAGCGACGCCGCGUGUGGGAUGAAGGUCUUCGGAUUGUAAACCACUGUCGGGAGGGACGAAGCUCUGACGGUACCUCCAAAGGAAGCACCGGCUAACUCUGUGCCAGCAGCCGCGGUAAGACAGAGGGUGCGAGCGUUGUCCGGAAUCACUGGGCGUAAAGGGCGCGUAGGCGGCUCGGUAAGUAGGGGGUGAAAUCUCACGGCUCAACUGUGAGGCUGCCUUCUAGACUGUCGGGCUUGAGCACAGUAGAGGCUGGUGGAAUUCCCGGUGUAGCGGUGGAAUGCGUAGAGAUCGGGAAGAACAUCUGUGGCGAAGGCGGCCAGCUGGGCUGUUGCUGACGCUGAUGCGCGACAGCGUGGGGAGCAAA
rnacentral:rRNA from 1 species